rnacentral:rRNA from 1 species
GACGAACGCUGGCGGCGUGCUUAACACAUGCAAGUCGAGCGGUAAGGCCCUUUCGGGGGUACACGAGCGGCGAACGGGUGAGUAACACGUGGGUGACCUGCCCUUAGCUCUGGGAUAAGCCUGGGAAACUGGGUCUAAUACCGGAUAUGACCUCAUGACUCAUGUUGUGGGGUGGAAAGCCUUGUGCGGCUAGGGAUGGGCCCGCGGCCUAUCAGCUUGUUGGUGGGGUAAUUGCCACCAAGGCGACGACGGGUAGCCGGCCUGAGAGGGCGACCGGCCACACUGGGACUGAGACACGGCCCAGACUCCUACGGGAGGCAGCAGUGGGGAAUCUUGCGCAAUGGGCGAAAGCCUGACGCAGCGACGCCGCGUGAGGGAUGACGGCCUCGGUGUAAC